GUUGCACGUUGGCAGUAUGCAGCAGCAGGCGCGGAGGCGGUGACGCACCGGCACGCUGGUCACGAGUCGGAUCUGGGCCGCAGGCUGGCAACAGUGAACAGGCAGUCCGAGCACUUGGAGCAGGAGGAUGAGAUCACCGAGCG
rnacentral:SRP_RNA from 13 species